AUUGAACGCUGGCGGCAUGCCUUACACAUGCAAGUCGAACGGCAGCACGGGAGCAAUCCUGGUGGCGAGUGGCGAACGGGUGAGUAAUAUAUCGGAACGUGCCCGGUCGUGGGGAUAACGUAGCGAAAGCUACGCUAAUACCGCAUACGAUCUACGGAUGAAAGCGGGGGAUCGCAAGACCUCGCGCGAUUGGAGCGGCCGAUAUCAGAUUAGGUAGUUGGUGAGGUAAAGGCUCACCAAGCCGACGAUCUGUAGCUGGUCUGAGAGGACGACCAGCCACACUGGGACUGAGACACGGCCCAGACUCCUACGGGAGGCAGCAGUGGGGAAUUUGGACAAUGGGCGCAAGCCUGAUCCAGCAAUGCCGCGUGCAGGAU
rnacentral:rRNA from 1 species